GAUGAACGCUGGCGGCGUGCCUAAUACAUGCGAGUCGAGCGAACAGACGAGGAGCUUGCUCCUUUGACGUUAGCGGCGGACGGGUGAGUAACACGUAGGUAACCUACCUAUAAGACUGGGAUAACUUCGGGAAACCGGAGCUAAUACCGGAUAAUAUUUCGAACCGCAUGGUUCGAUAGUGAAAGAUGGCUUUGCUAUCACUUAUAGAUGGACCUGCGCCGUAUUAGCUAGUUGGUAAGGUAACGGCUUACCAAGGCAACGAUACGUAGCCGACCUGAGAGGGUGAUCGGCCACACUGGAACUGAGACACGGUCCAGACUCCUACGGGAGGCAGCAGUAGGGAAUCUUCCGCAAUGGGCGAAAGCCUGACGGAGCAACGCCGCGUGAGUGAUGAAGGUCUUCGGAUCGUAAAACUCUGUUAUUAGGGAAGAACAAACGUGUAAGUAACUGUGCACGUCUUGACGGUACCUAAUCAGAAAGCCACGGCUAACUACGUG
rnacentral:rRNA from 1 species